rnacentral:lncRNA from 1 species
GCAUGUCUUCUGUGGAGACCUCGCUAUUUAGAUGCUUCACCUGUUUUUAAAACAGAGAUUGUUUUACUUUCUAAGAGAUUUUUUUAUAAACACCCUUUCAGUCACACAGUUUGCCGUUUGUGGGUUAGUUUUUUUCUGAUAUUGCCCACUGAAGCACACAACUAAAUUUUCAUAAGUAGUCAGUUCUUGCAAACUAGAAAUUAUUCACUCAGACCUUAAAUCACAUUUUUAUCUGUCUGUCUGGUUGGUGGUUUUCUUUUCUUUUUCUUUUUUCUUUGGUUUUGCAGCAGAGUCUCACUGUAGCCCAGGCUGGCCUCAUCCUAACACCAAUCCUCCUGCCUCAACCUCCCAAGUACUCUGGCAGUUUAGUUAAUGGAAGUUAAAAGCCAAAUGUAAGAGAUGUUGGGGGAUAGGAUUGAGUUAAUCACGGAGAGGGCUAUUGAACAAAAAAGGUUGCUCUUUUAAAUCUUGUAGAUGCCCAUCCUUUAAAGUAAGUUCAGAUUUAUUUAUUUAUUUUUAUUUCACUUAGUGUAUGUAUGAAUGAUGAGUAUGCGUGUGUGUGAUGUGUGCCUGUGAGUGGGAUGUAUGUGUGCGCGUGUGUAUAAAUGAUGAGUGUGUAUGAAUGAUGUGCAUGUAUGAAUGAUGUACAUGUAUGUGAAUGGUGUGUGUGUACACAUAUGUACGUGUGUGUGUGUGUGAAUGUGGAUGGUGUACAUAUGUAGGCGCAUAUGACACAGAGUGCCUUUGGAGGUCAGAAGACAACUUCCAGCUUUAUGUGGUCUCUAGGGUUCAUUUGCAGUCUGUGUCGUGAUGUCUUCAGUCUCGCACUGUUGCUCCUGAGUCUUCUCCAGGCCACUCUCAGGUCUCCUGAGGUGCCUGCUCAUGCUUCCCUCCCUCCCUUCCUCCUUCCCUCCCUCCCACUUUCUGGGUCCUUCUUGUCCUUCGGGAGGUUUGACUCCCUGACAACUCUUUCACACUAGCCGAUGUUGCCCCUGCCCUGAAUAGCAGGUAGAGGAAGCCAGGACGAAUGCCAUACACUGAGGUUCUGCCUUCUUGUUCAUAGCUUAGUCACCAGUGCCCACUGGGUGUUUUUACUGGGCUAAUGAAUGAUAAUUUAGAGAAGUUAGCUGAGGUGAUCCUGAAGACAGUGAGGUUCCUGGUUGCUGACAUCUUUAUUACCUUUACAGAAAGAGCAUGGAGGGCGGGCGCCUUUCUGGCAUCCAAGUCAAAAGUGUUCAGUUGCAAAUCUGAAGUGAGACCUCUCCCUGAGGCCUUGUCUGGGCUUCCUCCCUCUGACACAGUCUCUUUCACUAGGGCCAACAGUUUGAUGUGAUUGAGCCACUGGGCGCAUACAGGCUGGCCUUGAUGAACACAGGUCAGCGGCAGCACCUGCCUGCCUGCCUGCCUGCCUGGCGCACUCAGAAGAGUGGGUGAACCUCGAGUCCCUUGUUCUUGUUUAUUUUGAAAUGGGGUCUCACCAUGUAGCCCUGGCUGUCCUGGUACUCAGUAUGUAGAUCAGGUUAGCCUGGGGCUCACAGAGAUCCCCUGCCUCUGCCUCCUAAGUGCUGAAAUUAAGGGGUCUUUUCAUCCUCUGUUUAUCUGUUUUAAUGUCUCUUGCAGGACUUGACCGCAGGAAACAUUCUUUAGCUAGGCUCAUUUCUGAUAGUCUAAUUAAAAACAUUUCCCAUACUAUCUUUCUGCAAUAGGAGGAACCAGUUGGGGAUUAUCUCUCAUUCACUGCAGCAACAGGGUUGUAAAGAAGGCGCCCCUGUGAAGCCCAAGGCGUUGCACCCACUGUGGAGCUGUAGUUAUAGGCAGUUGUGAGCUGCCUGUCAUGGGUUCUAGAAACUACACUUUGGGAUCUCUCAAAGAGCAGUAGGAGCACGUGGGAGUCGUGUCUCUAGCCUCUGGCCUGGGCACAAAGGGAAGAAUGUUUAACUUUAGGGACGUGUGUGUGUUUGUGUGUGUGUGUGUUUGAUGAAACUGAGGCCUGGGUUUCACACCUAUCUGUCUGGAGAUGCCUAUUCAAACGCGUGUUCAUUGUCUCCGUGUUAUGCUUGUGGUCAUUUGAUCUGUUUAGCUGUCCAUCUGUCUGUCUUAAGGACAAGGACCUAAUCCCAAGUACUUGACUGGGUACCUCAGGGUGGGGAAGGCUUGCACUGAGGCACUCAUUGAGCUCUGAUAUGGCUGGCCCCACCACCUCUGGCCUUUGCGCAUGUGUACACAACAAGCACAUUAAAAUAAUAAGGGCCAGCCAGGCAGUGGUGGCGCACACCUUUAAUCCCAGCACUUGGGCGGCAGAGGCAGGCGGAUCUCUGAAUUUGAGGCCAGUCUGGUCUAUAAAGCGAGUUCUAGGAUAACCAGGGUGUGUGGAGAGACCCUGUCUCAGAAAACCAAAUGUGGAGAAAGAGAAGAAGAAAAAUAAAACCAAUGAAAUAAAUCUUAAGAGUUAAACUGUGAAUGACAUACCUUGCAGUAUCAAGCCACUCUUUAAGGAGUGUGUCCUUUUAGGGGCUGAGAGUCUUCAUCCUGGCUGCCUGGGAGGUACCGCUGUAGACCUCUAUGAACCCAGCUGCCAGCCUCUAGCUUCCUAGUGGCUGGCACUCACGGGCAGAGCUGGAGACACCAGGCUGCUCUGCUCUGAAGCCUCUGCAACGCACUCACCCAGGAGCUGGAGCUCAGCUGUACCCCCACACCCCUAUUUCAUUUGCAGUGUGAAGAUAAGGUGGGUGUGACGUACAGUACGGGCCCUUAAGUUAAAAUCAGUUUCCUUUUUAUAAUCUGACCCUGCCAGUUUUAGUGUCUGACCCAGUUUAAUGUCUGCCACCUUCUAGCUUGCACGCUGUGCUUCUGCCAGACCUACAAACAGCAGGUCUAGGGCUCACUGCAGUUUCCUGCCUCAGGCCCUGCUCACAUACUCUGGCUGCGCCUGGAUUAAAACAUGGGCAGUCGGGCCAUGUUUUUAGGACUCUGGGUACUUGCUGGGUACAUGUGGCAGUGGGGCCAGUCUUGCUGCAGACUUCACUUCCUAGUUUUGUUUGUGAAGGGUCUUGCUAUGUUGCUUAGGUUGGCCAGGAACUUGUUCUAUAGUCCAGGAUGGCCCGCAGACCAUUUUCCUUACCUUCUGGAGUGCUGGGAUGGCAGGUGUGUAUCUGGCCACAUUUGGCUGAUUUUCAUUAAUUAAUUAAUUAAUUAAUUAAUUAAUGGUGCUGGGGGUUGAAGGCAGUUAGUAUUAGUCAUUUUUUUUCAAUAAGAUAAACUGUGAUCACAUUGUAUGUUUUAAAGGCCUGUUAAUUAUGAGUUUAUCUCUUGUCUUGCUGGGAAAAAGGGUGCUUGUCUUGUUGAGUUUGGGGUAGGAACAGCACAUGGGGCUGUUGCUGGAACAACUGACAAUCACACUUCCCACGGGGCAGCCCAGACAGCCUGCCUGUGAGUGAAUCACACAGUGGCUUGCUGGAUGAGCCACUGUGAGUCCCUAGGUGCUAACAGCUGCUGAGUGCCGCCACCCCAGGAGAGCAGAGCUGGAGUGGAUUCUGGGACAAGCAUGGUGAGAGCGGUGAGGGGACUUGGCGAGCUGCUUUCCCUUUUGGCACUGGAUGGGUGCUUGACAGGAUUCAGAAGCAGCUCUCCUGAGGACGAAGGGGUUAAUCAUUAUUUGCUUAUUUCACACAAGACACACUUAAAUUCCUUCUCAGAACCGUCAGCAUUCUUUCCCAGUUAAAGAUUCUAAUUCCUUUCAUUCUUAGGGACUUAAGGAAUCGAGACUGAUUUAUUCAUAUAAGAGUGUGUGUUGCCCCAGUGGUGUCUCCGGGCACUUGUGAAUGAACCCGAGCUGUCAUCGCCGUUAAGCAGGGAGAUUUGUGCUGAAGUUUAUUUGUAUUUUUAAAUUUCACUAUGUUUUUAUUGCAGUGUCUAUUUCAAUAUAACAUACAGUAAAAAAAAAAAAGAAAACCUUAUUAACAUUUAUAUUGCACACAAAGAAAAGAGAUGCUAAAAGCAGUGUACCUCAGAUUUAAGAAAAAGCUCUAAUUAAACACUUGUAAUAAGUCUAUAUCCAAUUAUUCAUUUUGGACCAAAAUUGAGAUCAUUUGGUCAGUAUUUAUGUCUGUUGCUUAUGUGAAGUAUUUCUAUACAGCCUCUGAUAUGGACUCUCAGGCCAUUUUCCUAACAUAGUAGGAAAGACACAUGUAUGAACACUUAUGUUAAAGGAAGGGAUGGAGCAGGGAGAGCCCAAGGCCUCUGACAUGCGUACAAGUAUUUACCUUUCCAGAACUAAACACUUCUCCCAUAAAAAUAUUAGAUAGCUAGGGCUGGAGACCACUGACUGCUCUUCCAGAGGUCCUGAGUUCAAUUCCCAGGAACCACAUGGUGGCUCACAACCAUCUGUAAUGGGAUCCAAUGCUCUCUUCUGGUGUGUCUGAAGACAGCUACAGUGUACUCAUAGAAAUAAAAAAUAGGGGAAACGAGAAAGGGGAAUGACAUUUGAAAUAUAAAUAAAAUAACC